rnacentral:rRNA from 1 species
GACGAACGCUGGCGGCGUGCUUAACACAUGCAAGUCGAACGGUGAAGCGCCUUCCUUUUUGGUGGGUGUGGAUGAGUGGCGAACGGGUGAGUAACACGUGAGUAACCUGCCCCCUUCUUCUGGAUAACCGCAUGAAAGUGUGGCUAAUACGGGAUAUUCUGGGUCUGUCGCAUGAUGGGUCUGGGAAAGAUAUUGUUUCGGUGGGGGAUGGGCUCGCGGCCUAUCAGCUUGUUGGUGGGGUGAUGGCCUACCAAGGCGGUAACGGGUAGCCGGCCUGAGAGGGUGGACGGUCACACUGGGACGGAGACACGGCCCAGACUCCUACGGGAGGCAGCAGUGGGGAAUAUUGCACAAUGGGCGCAAGCCUGAUGCAGCGACGCCGCGUGAGGGAUGGAGGCCUUCGGGUUGUGAACCUCUUUCGCCAGUGAAGCAGGCCUGCCUCGUUUGUGGGUGGGUUGACGGUAGCUGGAGAAGAAGCGCCGGCUAACUACGUG